rnacentral:rRNA from 1 species
UACGUAGGGCGCAAGCGUUGUCCGGAAUUAUUGGGCGUAAAGAGCUCGUAGGCGGCUUGUCGCGUCGUCCGUGAAAACUUGGGGCUCAACCCCAAGCUUGCGGUCGAUACGGGCAGGCUAGAGUUCGGUAGGGGAGACUGGAAUUCCUGGUGUAGCGGUGAAAUGCGCAGAUAUCAGGAGGAACACCAGUGGCGAAAGCGGCUUCCUGGUCCAGCACCGACGUUCAGGCACGAAAGCGUGGGGAGCAAACAGG